rnacentral:rRNA from 1 species
CCCGCUGAACUUAAGCAUAUCAAUAAGCGGAGGAAAAGAAACCAACAGGGAUUGCCCUAGUAACGGCGAGUGAAGCGGCAACAGCUCAAAUUUGAAAUCUGGCCUUCUGGUCCGAGUUGUAAUUUGUAGAGGAUGCUUUUGGUGCGGCGCCUUCUGAGUUCCCUGGAACGGGACGCCAGAGAGGGUGAGAGCCCCGUACAGUCGGACGCCUAACCUUUGUAAAGCUCCUUCGACGAGUCGAGUAGUUUGGGAAUGCUGCUCAAAAUGGGAGGUAAAUUUCUUCUAAAGCUAAAUACCGGCCAGAGACCGAUAGCGCACAAGUAGAGUGAUCGAAAGAUGAAAAGCACUUUGAAAAGAGGGUUAAACAGUACGUGAAAUUGUUGAAAGGGAAGCGCUCGUGACCAGACUUGCGCUCGGUGGAUCAUCUAGCGUUCUCGCUGGUGCACUCCGCCGUGCUCAGGCCAGCAUCGGUUUCCCCGGGGGGAUAAAAGCUUCGGGAACGUGGCUCCUUCGGGAGUGUUAUAGCCCGUUGCAUAAUGCCUUCGGGGGGACCGAGGUUCGCGCUCCGCAAGGAUGCUGGCGUAAUGGUUACCGGCGACCCGUCUUGAAACACGG